UCAUAUCACAUUAAAGCACCGGUACUCGUCCGAUCACCGAAGUUAAGCAGCGUUGAAGUUGGCCAGUAUCUAGAAGAGGGACUGCUUGGGAAUACCAGGUGCUGUAA